AAAUUCUGUGAUUACAAAAUCUGUUAAAAGCGAACAAAAACUAAAAUAAUACUAAUCGUUAGAGGUAAGCAUAGCUAUGCCUCAGCUGCUGCAAGCCUUAUUAAUUGCAUUGCAAUGAACGUUGGCAUUUUCGCACAUAUGGCGGACCAAAAAAGGCCAAGAAAUGUCAGCCAGGCAGGAGCCCACACCCGUAUCCAGUAUAUAUGGUCGGAAUUCUCGGAACGCAUCGCCGGCGACGUCAUUGUCAUGAAAUGCACAAAUUCAUUGAGAGCACUUCCCAUACAUACGAGUAUACCCUGUGUGGAAUAUGCAACGUCCUUGCCGGCCUUUGAUGUAAUUUUAGUGCUCCUUGUUUAUGUUUUUAGUGGCAAUUCCAAUUACUCCCAGUUGCCAAGGAGCCGGCCCCAGAAAUAGCAAUUUAUUUAUAUUGUAGCGACCUUCCAGUGCCGCGCAAUGCACAAAGUUUUGCGAACAAAUGAAAUGUGGGCAAAAACAAUCUCCGAAAUCAAGACAAGGACGCAGGCGACUUAGGACCAGCGAAAAAAGAGUGGGAACAAAGCCAACAAAAGAGGGCCACAAUAUUGCACACUAAUCGAGGAGAUUUCGGAUGUUCACCUGGUGGGUCAGGCUGCCUGGAUAAAAAGCGUUCUAUCAUCAUAGUUCCACUGCUCUUAACAGUUCACUGCGGUCCACUGAAGCGAAAGCAUUUCUUUUUCGUUCAAAAAUUGAUGGCAUGGGGGGAUUUAUGGUACAAUUUCAGCACACA